rnacentral:rRNA from 1 species
GCAGGCUUCAUACAUGCAAGUCGAGGGGCAGCAUAAAUUACUUGUAAUUUGAUGGCGACCGGCGAACGGGUGCGUAACGCGUAUGCAACUUACCUUUUACUAGAGAAUAGCCAAGAGAAAUUUUGAUUAAUGCUCUAUGUUCUUAUUUACUCGCAUGAGUAAAUAAGCAAAGCUCCGGCGGUAAAAGAUGGGCAUGCGUCCUAUUAGCUUGUAGGUGAGGUAAUGGCUCACCUAAGCUCCGAUAGGUAGGGGUCCUGAGAGGGAGAUCCCCCACACUGGUACUGAGACACGGACCAGACUUCUACGGAAGGCAGCAGUAAGGAAUAUUGGACAAUGGAGGCAACUCUGAUCCAGCCAUGCCGCGUGAAGGAAGACGGCCUUAUGGGUUGUAAACCUCUUUUAUACAGGAAGAAACCUUUCCACGUGUGGAAAGCUGACGGUACUGUAAGAAUAAGGAUCGGCUAACUCCGUGCCAGCAGCCGCGGUAAUACGGAGGAUC